GGUGAAAGAUUUAUCGUCUGAAGAAGGGCUCGCGGCUGAUUAGCUAGUUGGAGUGGUAAAGGCACACCAAGGCGACGAUCAGUAACUGGUCUGAGAGGAUGAGCAGUCACACUGGAACUGAGAAACGGUCCAGACUCCUACGGGAGGCAGCAGUGGGGAAUUUUCCGCAAUGGGCGAAAGCCUGACGGAGCAAUACCGCGUGAGGGAGGAAGGUUCUUGGAUUGUAAACCUCUUUUCUAGGGGAAUAAAAAAAUGAAGGUACCCUAGGAAUAAGCAUCGGCUAACUCCGUGCCAGCAGCCGCGGUAAUACGGAGGAUGCAAGCGUUAUCCGGAAUUAUUGGGCGUAAAGAGUCCGUAGGUGGAAGUUCAAGUCUGCGGUCAAAGAAUGGAGCUUAACUCCAUAGAGGCCGUGGAAACUGAGCAACUAGAGUGCGGUAGGGGUAACGGGAAUUCCCAGUGUAGCGGUGAAAUGCGUAGAUAUUGGGAAGAACAUCGGUGG
rnacentral:rRNA from 1 species